CGGUGACGCCUGUUUGGAGGCUUUGAGUUCGGAGAACUACGACUCCCACAAGGCUGCGCGCGGCGGGCCCCUCAGCUGGAGGUAUUUCCUCGCCCGGGACAGUGGACCUCGUUCCUCAGCUCCAGUGGGCGCAAGUCUCCGGGACUGAGUGGCCAAUGUAGUAGGAGUGAAUCUGCCAGUUUCCCUGGCAGCUUAAAUAAGACAUCUGGAGUGCCAGACAGCACUGCUUCAGAAACCGUGUGAUGAAAUGUAAUCCCGGUGGUUGGAGAGAGCUGUUCUCCACAGUUCAGCAGAAACAUGGUACAACUUUCGUGCUGAAGGGUCCUGAGCCCUGGGAGUUUGCCACAUCGGAGCAGCUUCAAGGCAAUGGAACGUUGGCAUCUAGGUGUCAGUACCUUUGGCGGUAAUCGACAGGCCACCCUAGGCUACACCCUGCACUGUGGCAGCCUCAGCAUAGAUUUGUCAAGCAUAUGAGCAGCAUCUUUGACCUGCAUGAGCGAUAGCAGCAGCUUGUCUGGACAGGACACAUAUGCAUGGUCGGGGUGACUGUGCUGGGGAUGUCUCAGCAGCAGAUCUCUGCAGGAAGCCAGAGCGGGGCAUCACCGAAUUGGAAGGAAGCAAAACUGGAGAAAGGGUCCAUUAGGAAGCUGUUGCAGCAUCCUGGGUGUGAGUUAACAGGAGAGAGAGGGAGGAAGGAGUCGAGGGUGACUCUUAUGUUCCUGGCGUGGGCAGCUUGCUGAGGAUGUUAUUUACUUGGAAGGAGGUUGAGUGGAAGUUACCAAGGUAAUUUUGAAUAUAUAUGUUAUGAGUAACCUGUGAGGCAUCUAAGUAGAAAUGCAUUCUGCACAAUUGACUAUGUGGGUCUGGAGCUCAAAAUAAGUUGGACUAGGAAUGUAUACAUGGGACUCCUCUGCACAUAGCUAUUAAUUGAAACAACAGGCAUGGGUAAGAUUCAUGGGGUGAGUGGGGAGAGUGGGGAGAGAGAAAUCGGGGGCUUGGACAGGACUCUAGGAGCCCACCAUUUAAGGGAAGGGCAGAGGGAGGGAAGCCUGAGAAGGAGAGUGGGAAGGAGCAGCACAGAGAUGGGAAGAAAAGAGAUAUCAAGGAAGCCAAGAGAAGAAAUGUUCCAAGAUGGAAAUAGACAGCAGUGUCAGAGGGAACUGAGAGGUCAAAUAAUGUACAGACUGAGUGUCCAUUGGAUUUAACAACAGAGUAAUUUGGGGUCAUUUUAAUGAGAGCAGUUUCAGGGAAAUAGUGGGGUGGAAAUUAAAUAGAAGUGGGCAGCAAAUGGGCAGUCUGUAGACAUCUUCAAAAAGCUUAGCUGAGAAGAGGAGGUGAAUGAGUAUAGUAGCUGGAGGUGUUUGGUUCACGAAAUUAAGGGGAAAUUGUCUUGACGAUGGGAGAAGUUUGUACAGUUGACUCUUGAACAACACGGGUGUGCACUUACACGUGAAUU